ensembl:lncRNA
UAAGGAGUACAUCCCUGUCCCUAUACAUACUGAGAGAGAGAGACAGAGGGAGACCGAGAGACUGAGAGAGAAAGAAAGAGAGAGAGAGAGAUGAUUUUGACCCCUGAUUAUUGUUGUUACUCUUGUCCCAUUGACAAUAUUGAUUCUUAUUAUUUUAACUAUGUUAAUAAUGUAAAUCUCCAAAGUAAGCUAAUGGCAAUAUGUACAUUGUUACGUCAUGCCAAUAAAGCGAAUUGAAUUGAGAGAGAGAGAGAGAGCGCCAGGGCUCGUAGUGAGACUGUUUGUAGCUGCUGGUAUAGGUGGGUGUUUGGGGUUGUUCCGGGCACUAGUCUGCGGUCAGUGUGUGUGUGUGGGGGGUGUAUAAUAUAUUUUUGUAUCUUUAGAGAGAGAGAGAGAGAGCGCCAGGGCUAGUAGUGAGACUGUUUGUAGCUGCUGGUAUAGGUGGGUGUUUGGGGUUGUUCCGGGCACUAGUCUGCGGUCUGUGUGUGUGUGUGGGGGUAUAUAAUAUAUUUUUGUAUCUUUAUAUACAUAUAUUUUUUACUGGUUUUAUUGACAUGACUGAAAUGGUAUUUUGCCCAGUCUGUAAUUGUUCAUUUGUGGAUCUCUCUCUUCUGUUUUUGUACGGUUGGUUGCUUUUGAUUUGUAUCGGCUUGUUCUUUUUAUGAAUACACAAACACUUACUAGCUUACACAUAACACUGAACUCCCCCAUAAAGUGAUAAAUAUCGGUAACGGAAUUAUUGCAAUUCAAUAGGCUACAAUGGGAAAUCAUAGUAGCCACAAACCACAGUUGGGUCACCUGCUACUGUCCUCCCUUCCACUGGCAUACUGUCAUGUUCAUCUCAUAACGAGUUUCUUUCUCUUUCUGUCUUCUGGUGGUAAAAGAAAGAGUGAUAAAACAGUCUGGACAGACUGACAAACAUCCUCACCUGCUGAGCACCGGCUGACAAACAUCCUCACACGCUGAGCACCGACUGACAAACAUCCUCACCCUCUGAGCACCGACUGACAAACAUCCUCACCCGCUGAGCACCGACUGACAAACAUCCUCACCCGCUGAGCACCGACUGACAAACAUCCUCACCCUCUGAGCACCGACUGACAAACAUCCUCACCCGCUGAGCACCGACUGACAAACAUCCUCACCCGCUGAGCACCGACUGACAAACAUCCUCACCCGCCGAGCACCGACUGACAAACAUCCUCACCCGCUGAGCACCGGCUGACAAACACCCUCACCCUCUGAGCACCGACUGACAAACAUCCUCACCCGCUGAGCACCGACUGACAAACAUCCUCACCCGCUGAGCACCGACUGACAAACAUCCUCACCCGCUGAGCACCGACUGACAAACAUCCUCACCCGCUGAGCACCGACUGACAAACAUCCUCACCCGCUGAGCACCGGCUG